GAAAUGCGAUACUAAUGUGAAUUGCAGAAUUCAGCGAACCAUCGAAUCUUUGAACGCACAUUGCGCCCGCCAGCAUUCUGGCGGGCAUGCCUGUCCGAGCGUCAUUUCCCCCCUCACGCGCCCCGUUGCGCGCUGGUGUUGGGGCGCCCUCCGCCUGGC
rnacentral:rRNA from 1 species